rnacentral:rRNA from 1 species
ACUACGGGUGGCAGCAGUGGGGGAUAUUGCACAAUGGGGGGAACCCUGAUGCAGCGACGCCGCGUGGGUGAAGAAGCGCCUCGGCGCGUAAAGCCCUGUCAGCAGGGAAGAAAAUGACGGUACCUGAAGAAGAAGCCCCGGCUAACUACGUGCCAGCAGCCGCGGUAAUACGUAGGGGGCAAGCGUUAUCCGGAUUUACUGGGUGUAAAGGGGGCGCAGACGGCGGUGCAAGCCAGGAGUGAAAGCCCGGGGCCCAACCCCGGGAAUGCUCUUGGAACUGCGUGGCUGGAGUGCAGGAGGGGCAGGCGGAAUUCCUGGUGUAGCGGUGAAAUGCGGAGAUAUCAGGAGGAACACCGGUGGCGAAGGCGGCCUGCUGGACUGCAACUGACGUUGAGGCCCGAAAGCGUGGGGAGCAAACAGGAUUAGAUACCCCUGUAGUC